rnacentral:tRNA from 1 species
GGGGUUCUAGCUCAUCGGUAGAGCGCUCGCUUAGCAUCCCGCUGAGUAGCAUGCGAAAGGUACAGGAUUCGACUCCCUGGUACUCCA